AAUGAACGCUGGCGGCGCGCCUAAUACAUGCAAGUCGAGCGAGAAGACGUAGCAAUACGUUUGUAAAGCGGCGAACGGGUGAGGAAUACAUGGGUAACCUACCCUCGAGUGGGGAAGUAACUAGCCGAAAGGUUAGCUAAUACCGCGUACGCUCCUUGGACUUCGGUUCAGGGAGGAAAGCGAUACCGUGGGUAUCGCGCUCUUGGUUGGGCUCAUGUCCUAUCAGCUUGUUGGUGAGGAACGGCUCACCAAGGCUUCGACGGGUAGCUGGUCUGAGAGGACGAUCAGCCACACUGGCACUGCGACACGGGCCAGACUCCUACGGGAGGCAGCAGUAAGGAAUAUUGCGCAAUGGGCGAAAGCCUGACGCAGCGACGCCGCGUGGGGGAGUGAA
rnacentral:rRNA from 1 species